AUGAAGAGUAGGUCAGCAAGGACUAGUGCCAAAUGCAGGAAGAGGAGGAGUCAUUUUGUCCAAUCUUUACUUUGCAACUGUUACCAAUGGGUUCUGUGGGUGAUUUCAGAAAAUGAACAGAAGAUACAUCAGAUCUCUCCUGUACUUUGCAGAAACCACUGCCUAUGGACUUGCAGUAAACAUUCAAGUGAUUCAAGCCUCUUUAAGGACUGUGAAUUUCUUGUGAAAAAUUCUUGUCUGAAACCUAUUUUUCUAAAGAACAGUUUUCUGGGACAUCUUUCACCCAACAUCUCAUUGCUCAGACUGCCACAGAUAUUUAAUGUUUUUACUGAGCAGGGACAAAGUCUGCUUACAGAAUUGUAUGUGACAUAAGCUGGAACAUAAUUUGGAUAACCACCAAUGUGGAGAAAGGUGAGAACUUCAUGUUGACUAGUGUGGCAAUCUUAAACCCAUAGAAUUGGGAAAUAUGGCUUGGUGGAAUGAUGAAGGCAAUGCAGAAUAAGUUCUGAUUCAGAGGAGCAGGGUUAAUCAGUAGGAAUGGGAAUAAGUGAAAGAAAUGUUGGAGUUCUGGGAUUGUGAGGUUGAAGAGAAUGAAGGAGGAAGAACAGAGAUUUUCAGCUGAACAGCUUAUAUGAUACAAAGUUGGAAGAGUUCUAAUAUAUUAACUUAUUUCAAAGGUAGUCUUAAUUUGAUGUAUGCAGCAUCAGAGCUCUGGUUCCAGCACUAGAUACUCUUGUAGCUCUGUAGAGCCUUGAUAAAAAUACAUCUCAUAGAAGGGGAGAGUAUAAGAACAUUUGUGUUCUGCUUUGUGAUGAAAUGAGGAGCACUAAAUUAGGGCCAGGCUUUGGGCGUUCAUACAUUAAUCAGUUCACCUGCAAUUUCUAUUAUUAAUGUUUUUUCUUAUUUCUAAGUAACUGUUCAAUAGAUAAAACAUGAGUAGUUUGCUCUUUCUUUCUGUGGCUUUUUAAUUUUGUGUUGUGAAAUAAAAUGAAUAUGGAAAUAAAGUUAAACA
rnacentral:lncRNA from 1 species